CCAAUGCGGCAGCAGUGAUGCUUCAUGACGUCACGCUGGCUGUGUUGCCCGCCAAUAGCAUUGAGUUGCAACCCCCUACUGACCGUUACCUAUAUUAACGUUGGCAACACUGUCGUUGUAUUCCCAUUUUCACGUAGAAGUUGAUCAAAUCAAUUAAUUUGUAUCGUAUUGUUAAUAUUUCAGAGAUCGGGCCAUCUGGCUUCUUUGGAAUAAGAAUUGAUUUUGAAAAGUUGGAUAAAGUAUGGACAUUUUUGAUGCUAGGAAGAAAAUUAGACGCCUUUUGUGACAUCAGCGUCCUACUUGAGGAACUAGCAAUUUGGCAACAUUUUGAAAUUUCAAAAAGAAAAAAAAACUAUUGGAUACGAAAAAUUGACUAUCAAAAUGUCAAACGAGACAGAUCUCUUAAAUCUGCUGAUCGCACUUGCUCACAGUAAGUAACAUACAUACUGUAACUCGUGAUUACAAAUGAUUAUAAUAGUCCCUGGUUUUAUGAAAACCAUCAGGUAUUUGAAUAGACUAUUGAAGUAGAAAAUAUUAAACUACUUGUAGAAUAGUUAACCAGAAUCGAAGAUGAAGCCAUUCAAUCGCAUUAUAAGAGAGGCCUUUUAACUUCAUUGGUGGAAUUAGCAAAAUCUUGUCUGGUACUAUGGAUAGUGAACACACAACAUACUACACAGACAAAAUUUUGGAUAUGGAAAUGGAACAGGCUGAUUUCUUAACUUUCCAAAGAACAGGUAACAGUCGUAAAAUCGACAUUAAGAUGUAUAAGACAUUACAAGACGUAUCUGAAAACAAGAAUGUACGAUCGUAAGGGUUGGCGAAUAAUGAACACGGUGAUAAGGUAAAGGAAACAUAUACAUCCUCACCAAUGCUGCUUGUUGUAAAUGAGCAUUCGGCGCAACUAGACAGAGCUUCGGGCAUACUCUAGUCACAUGUUAUUGCACAAGCUCAAGUCAUGAAUCAGAAAAAAUUAAAUCAAGCUGACUUCCCCACUGACUUGGCAUUUGUCUUCCUCUAACAAAUCAUUUGAUUUCAAUGUGUACCAUGUUUUGCCCUUACCAAUUAAGAUAAAAAAUACCGAGUUAAAACUUGCAUGUAUAUUGUCAGAAAGUCAGUAUUUGUUAAUAUAUAUAGCUAAGCAGUAUAACUCUAGGUUAAAGGUAGACAAAUGUAAGGAAUGUAAGCUGACAACAGCCAUCGGCUGUGCAAAGAAAAUUACCCUGUGCAUGUAAAGCAUUUAGACAAAGAACAUGGAGCCUAACUGCUUCAGUCCAUUGGAAGCAUACCUAGCAGUUGUACUCAGAAUAUAACAGGACCGAAUCAAACGCUGUGGACCCAGCUGGGUAAUAAUGAAUGGUUAGGUGCUGCUCCACGAGUGCACACACUCGAAGUGUGUUCGGCGCAGGAACAAAUUGACAUUACGGUGACAAGUCAGGAAUUAGGUUGUAAGUGUAUAUCUGUGUAGCAUACUGAGGUCGUUUUAUUCUUUCUUUUUUAGGCAUCACAAGUGAGAUCAUGGAAAUAUUUAAGAAAAUUCUUGAGGACUGGGCAAGUUUCAGAAAAGCAGGUAUCUUUGGCCUAGUGCUGCUGGGAGCAGUGCUAGAAACAUUAAGGCGGAUAUAUGUUGUAAGUAUCAUGACAGUUGACUCGUCACUUACCAAGCAUCACUGUCUCUAGGUAAUUGGUCAAAUUAAAGAAAAAUGUAGUUCAGUCUGCAAGGUCAAGUCUCCCUGCGGGGAGAUUUCACUUUCUCACCCAGACUCUUUAAAUAGUUGCAGUUUACCAACAAAGAAAUGGCCGUGAUCGCGUAGUCGAUAUAGCGACUUUAUACGGGCUGGAUGGCUGUUAUGAGUGGUUGCCGCCCCUGAACAUAAGGCCAUAGCCAACGAUGCGACCCACCAGAUUCAGGGACGGCAGGGGCUGGGCGACGAUAAUCAAGGGCGCCAGGGAUCGGAACGCGAUAAUCAGGUACGCCAGGGGACGGACAUCGAGAAUCAGAGAUGCAGGAGGGCGGACCGCGAAAAUCAGGGACGCCAGGGGCCGGACCGCGUGAACCAGAGACGAAAGAGGCAGAGACACCAACCUCAAGGCCAUAAGCAACGAGGCGGCCCACCAGAUUCAGGGACGGCAGGGGCUGAGCCACGAUAAUCAGGGAAGCCAGGGGGCGGAUCGCGAGAAUCGUGUACGACAGGGGCCUGACCGCGAGAACCAGGGACGACAGAGGCAGGGACUCCAACCUAAGACAAUAGCCAACGAGGCGGCCCACAGAUUUAGGGACGGCAGGGGCUGGGCCACGAUAAUCAAGGGCGAUAGGGGCUGGCCAACGAUAAUCAGGAAAGCCAGGGAACGUACCGCGCUAAUCAGAGAUGCCAGGGGCCGGACUGCGAGAAUCACCGAUGCGAGGGACCGGACGGCGGACCAGGGACGACAGAGGCAGGACACUAACCUAAGGCCAUAGUCAACGAGGCGGCCCACCAGAUUCUGGGACGGCAGGAGCUGGGCCACGAUAAUCAAGGGCGCCAGGGACAGGACCGCCAUAAUCAGGUAUGCAAGGGGCCAGACUGCGAGAAUCAGGCACGCCAGGGACAGGGCCGCGAGAACCAGAGACGACAGGCAGGGACACCAACCUAAGGCUAUAGCCAACGAGGCGGCCCACCAGAUUCAGGGACGACAGGAGCAGGACCACGAUAAUCAGGAAAGUCGGGGACCGGACCGCGCUAAUAGGGGACGCCAGAGGUCAGACUGCGAGAAUCAGGGACGUCACGGGCCGGACCGCGAGAACCAGGGACGGCAGAGGCAGGGACACUAACUCAAGGCCAUAGUCAGCGAUGCGGCCAACAGGUUGAGGGACGGCAGGGGCUGGGCCACGAUAAUCAAGGGCUCUAGGGGCCGGACCGCCAUAAUCAGGGACGACAGGGACCCGACUGCGAGAAUCAGGCACGCCAGGGGCCGGACCGCGAGAACCAGAGACGACACAGGCAGGAAAACCAACCUAAGGCUAUUGUCUGUAUUUCCUUAUAUUAACCUGAAAUCGACAAAGAAUAUUCGGAAAAAAUUUCAUGAAAUUGGCUGAGUUCGUUCAUAAUUUGUUUAAAUUGUUCUAAUUAACUUAUAAUUACUGACCAUAUUAAAUUUCAUUAAAUAAUAAAGUAAGGCGGCCCACAAGAUUCAGGGACAGGAGCUGGGCCACGAUAAUCAGGGAAGCCAGGGACCGUACCGCGCUAAUAAGGGACGCCAGGGGCCACUGCGAGAAUCACGUACGCCAGGGGCCGGACCGCGAGAACCAGAGACACAGGCAGGGACACGAAACUAAGGCCAUAGCCAACGAGGCGGCCCACAGAUUGAGGUACGCAAGGGGCCAGACCGCGAGAAUCAGGCACGCCAGGGGCCGGACCGCGAGAACCAGGAACGCCAGAGGCAGGGACACCAACUUAAGGUCAUAGCCAACAACGCGGCCCACCAGAUUCAGGGACGUCAGGAUCUGGGACACGAUAAUCAAGGGCACCAGGGACCGGCCAAAGUUAAUCAGGAAAGCCAGGGACGGGACCGCACUAAUCAGGGACGCCAGGGGCCUGACCGCGAGAACCAGUGAUGACAGAGGCAGGGACCCCAAACUAAGGCCUUAGCCAACAAGGCGGCCCACAGAUUGAGGGACGGCAGGGGCUGACCCACGAUAAUCAAGGGCGCCAGGGGCCGGCCCACGAUAAUCAGGGAAGCCAGGGGCCGGACCGCGAUAAUCAGGUAUGCAACGGGCCAGACCGAGAAUCAGUGACGCAGGGGGCCGGACCGCGAGAGCCAGGGACGACAGAGGCAGGGACACCAACCUAAGGCCAUAGCCAAAGAGGGGGAACACAGGUUGAGGGACGGCAGGGGCCGGACCGCGCUAAUCAGUAUUGCAAGGGGCCAGACCCAGAAUCAGGGACGCCGGGGGCCGGACCGCGACAACAAGGGACGACAGAGGCAGGGACACCAACUUAAGGCUAUAGCCAACGAGGCGGCCCACCAGAUUCAGGGACAACAGGAGCUCGGCCACGAUAAUCAAGGGCGCCAGAGGCCGGCCAACGAUAAUCAGGAAGCCAGGGACCGGACCGCGCUAAUAAGGGACCCCAGAGGUCAGAUCGCGAGAAUCAGGGAUGUCAGGGGCCGGACCGCGAGAACCAGGGACGAGAGAGGCAGGGACACCAACCUAAGGCCAUAGCCAAAGAGGGGGAACACAGGUUGAGGGACGCCAGGGGCUGGGCCACGAUAAUCAAGGGCGCUAGGGGCCCGACUGCGAGAAUCAGGCACGCCAGGGGCCGGACCGCGAGAACCAGAGACGACACAGGCAGGGACACCAACCUAAUGCUAUGGUCUGUAUUUCCUUAUAUUAACGUGAAAUCGACAAAGAAUAUUCGGAAAAAAUUUCAUGAAAUAGGUUGAGUUCGUUCAUAAUUUGUUCAAUUGUUUUAAUUAACUUAUAAAUACUGAACAUAUUAUAAAAUUUCAUUAAAUAAUAUAAUAAGGCGGCCCACCAGAUUCAGGGACGACAGGAGCUGGGUCACGAUAAUCAGGAAAGCCAGGGAACGGACCGCGCUAAUAAGGGACGCCAGAGGCCAGACCCUCUGUUUGAGGCAGUAUGACCUGAAAAUAUAAAUUAAGUUAGAAUGAUUAAUGGACUUGUACAGGACAUUGGAACACACAUGUUCAGGUCUCAGCUUGUCAUUCUGAAGGUUAUUGUGUAGGCGAGCUUCCAAGUUCAAGUGUCAACUUGGAAUCCUUUAAUUGUUACGAAGCUGAAAUGCGUUGACUAACAAGUAUUUUAUGCUCUGUGCAUAGAAUGCAGGGGGUGGGCCACGAUAAUCAAGGGCGCCAGGGGCCGGACCGCGAUAAUCAGGUACGCAAGGGGCCAGACCGCGAGAACCAGAGACGACACAGGCAGGAACACCAACCUAAGGCCAUAGCCAACGAGGCGGUCCACCAGAAUCAAAGAUAAUCAGGAAAGCCAGGGACCGGACCGCGCUAAUAAUGGACGCAAGGGGUCAGACCGUGAGAAUUUGGGACGCCAGGGAACACACUGCGAGAAUUACGGACGCCAGGGGCCAGACCGCGAGAACCAGGGACGGUAGACAGGGACACCAACCUAAGGCCAUAUUCAAAGAGGCGGCCCACCAGAUUCAGGGACGGCAGGAGCUGCUGCUCGUUAACCAAGGAAGCCAAGGGCCGGCCCACGAUAAACAGGGAAUUCAGGGGGGAGACCGCGAGAAUAAGGGACGCAACGGGCCGGACCGCGAGAAUCACGGACGCCAGGGGCCGGACCGGGAGAAUCAGGUACGCAAGGGGCCCGACUGAGAAUCAUGGACUCCGGGGGGCUGACCGCGACAUCAGGGACGCCAGGGGCCAGACCGCGAGAACCAGGGAUACCAACCUAAGACCAUAACCAACGAGGCGGUACACCAGAUUCAGGGACGGCAAGGGCUGACUCACGAUAAUCAGGAAAGCCAGGGACCGCACCGUGGUAAUCAGGGACUCCAGGAGCCGGACCGCGAGAACCAGGGAUGACAGAGGCAGGGACACCAACCUAAGGCCAUAGUCAACGAGGCG